AGGUUAAGCAGUAAAUGUGGAGCCGUAGCGAAAGCGAGUCUGAAUAGGGCGUUUAGUAUUUGGUCGUAGACCCGAAACCAGGUGAUCUACCCUUGGUCAGGUUGAAGUUCAGGUAACACUGAAUGGAGGACCGAACCGACUUACGUUGAAAAGUGAGCGGAUGAACUGAGGGUAGCGGAGAAAUUCCAAUCGAACCUGGAGAUAGCUGGUUCUCUCCGAAAUAGCUUUAGGGCUAGCCUCAAGUGAUGAUUAUUGGAGGUAGAGCACUGUUUGGACGAGGGGCCCCUCUCG
rnacentral:rRNA from 1 species